GUCAGUAUAGAUGAGAAGCUGUGCGUUCUCUAGUAUGGUUAGCGGCGGACGGGUGAGUAACACGUAGGCAACCUGCCUUUCAGUCUGGGAUAACUUCCGGAAACGGAUGCUAAUACCGGAUACAUCGUUUCUUCGCAUGGAGAGAUGAGGAAAGACGGCGCAAGCUGUCACUGAGAGAUGGGCCUGCGGCGCAUUAGCUAGUUGGGUGAGGUAACUGGCUCAUCCAAGGCGAUCGAUGCGUAGCCGACCUGAGAGGGUGAACGGCCACACUGGGACUGAGACACGGYCCAGACUCCUACGGGAGGCAGCAGUAGGGAAUCUUCCACCAAUGGGCGAAAGCCUGAUGGAGCAAUUGCCGCGUGAGUGAUGAAGGUUUUCGGAUCGUAAAGCUCUGUUGCCAGGGAAGAACGUCCGGGUGAGUAACUGCACCCCGGAGUGACGGUACCUGAGAAGAAAGCCCCGGCUAACUACGUGCCAGCAGCCGCGGUAAUACGUAGGGGGCAAGCGUUGUCCGGAAUUAUUGGGCGUAAAGCGCGUGCAGGCGGCUUSUUAAGUCGGAUGUUUAAGAUCGGGGCUCAACCCCGAUUCGCAUCCGAAACUGGGAAGCUUGAGUGUAGGAGAGGAAAGUGGAAUUCCACGUGUAGCGGUGAAAUGCGUAGAGAUGUGGAGGAACACCAGUGGCGAAGGCGACUUUCUGGCCUAUAACUGACGCUGAGGCGCGAAAGCGUGGGGAGCAAACAGGAUUAGAUACCCUGGUAGUCCACGCUGUAAACGAUGAGUGCUAGGUGUUCGGGGUUUCGAUACCCUGGGUGCCGAAGUUAACGCAUUAAGCACUCCGCCUGGGGAGUACGGUCGCAAGACUGAAACUCAAAGGAAUUGACGGGGACCCGCACAAGCAGUGGAGUAUGUGGUUUAAUUCGAAGCAACGCGAAGAACCUUACCAGGUCUUGACAUCGGAAUGACCGGCUUAGAGAUAAGCCUUUCCCUUCGGGACAUUCCAGACAGGUGGUGCAUGGUUGUCGU
rnacentral:rRNA from 1 species